UGAUGAUCAAAUAUUAACCCUCAGUUUACCUGUGAUCUUUCUGAUAAAAGAUAUUAAAGGGGCCGUAGCAGGUUCACAACAAUUAGUCAAUCUGCGCUAUUUGUAAAAGAGGAAACGUGUCACCUCAAAUUUCCAAUGAUGACUUCAUACAAGACAAGUUAAGGUAGGAAAGCAGAGCGGUACAAAACUGUGUUGAGUGUAAAGUUGUCAGUAGGGGGGGUAACAGAGGGCUGUGAAUGAGCCCUGUCACUGUGAUCAGGCUCCUUCUAGUCCACCAACUUAGUGUUGAUGAAGACUAAACAGAGACUUCACAGCCUUCGUUAUACUUGCUGUAGCUCACAGCGACUCAACACUGCAGAUAUGACGCCUCUGCUCAUCUCAGUGCUGCUGGCUGCUAUGUGCCUUGAAUGCAGAGCACAAAAAGACAACGUGCUGCAACCAAAAAGAGAUGUGACUGCUACUGAAGGAGAGGCAGUAACACUUGACUGUCUAUAUAACAGCAGUUCCGCGAGUAAUUAUCUCUUCUGGUACAAACAGGAUGGAAACAACAGCCCCAAGUUCAUCCUGAGCCGCAUUAAUCUGGAUGAAGGGAUCACAGCCGAUGAGUUCAGGGAGAGAUUUUCAUCCACUCUGAAUUCCACCUCAAGAUCAGGUCCUCUGAAGAUCCAGAGGCUUCAGGUGACUGACUCUGCUGUGUACUACUGUGCUCUGCAGCCCACAGUGACAGGAAACACCAGAACUCUGUACAAAAACCUUUGGAGCAAAGACAACAGAAUACUCCACAACCUCCACUAGAGGGAGUCACACACUGUUAAACUUCAGUGGUUUCUUAUGAUCCAGUCUAGAUUCUAUGUACUGGUGAUAAAAACAACAGAAAAUGAAGAAUUAAAGAUAAAAAAUUUGU